rnacentral:misc_RNA from 1 species
GAUGAAGAACGUAGCGAAAUGCGAUACGUAAUGUGAAUUGCAAAUACAGUGAAUCAUCGAGUCUUUGAACGCACAUUGCGCCCCCUGGUAUUCCGGGGGGCAUGCCUGUCCGAGCGUCAUUGCUGCCCUCAAGCACGGCUUGUGUGUUGGGCCCCGUCCUCCGAUCCCGGGGGACGGGCCCGAAAGGCAGCGGCGGCACCGCGUCCGGUCCUCGAGCGUAUGGGGCUUUGUCACCCGCUCUGUAGGCCCGGCCGGCGCUUGCCGAUCAACCCAAAUUUUUAUCCAGGUUGACCUCGGAUCAGGUAGGGAUACCCGCUGAACUUAAGCAUAUCAAUAAGCGGAGGA